GACGUAGGGCGCGAGCGUUGUCCGGAUUUAUUGGGCGUAAAGAGCUCGUAGGCGGCUUGUCGCGUCGACUGUGAAAUCCCACGGCUCAACUGUGGGCUUGCAGUCGAUACGGGCAGGCUGGAGUUCGGUAGGGGAGACUGGAAUUCCUGGUGUAGCGGUGAAAUGCGCAGAUAUCAGGAGGAACACCGGUGGCGAAGGCAGGUCUCUGGGCCACUACUGACGCUGAGAAGCGAAAGCAUGGGGAGCGAACAGG
rnacentral:rRNA from 1 species